rnacentral:rRNA from 1 species
CAGUCGCCGCGGGAAAACGAAGGGGGCUAGCGUUGUUCGGAUUAACUGGGCGUAAAGGGCGCGUAGGCGGGUUUUUAAGUCAGAGGUGAAAUCCCAAGGCUCAACCUUGGAACUGCCUUUGAUACUGGAAGUCUUGAGUCCGGGAGAGGUGAGUGGAACUGCGAGUGUAGAGGUGAAAUUCGUAGAUAUUCGCAAGAACACCAGUGGCGAAGGCGGCUCACUGGCCCGGUACUGACGCUGAGGCGCGAAAGCGUGGGGAGCAAACAGGAUCAGAUACCCCAGUAGUCCCUGUCUCUUAUAC